AGAAUGGCCCAGGGCAUCCAUCCUGGAUAAUGAACUGAAAUGAGACUGAUGUGCAAGAAACUAUGUUUACCUGGCUUAUGCCGUUUUUUCUGCUGAGUGUAUCAUUUGGAGCAUGUCCGGACCCGGCGCACAUCGCGUGUGUCGGUACAUCCUGUGAGUCAGACAGAGACCCGGGGUGUUGUCCGAACACAUGUGGAACUUUGACACUUAUCAAUGAGAUCGUAUCCCUGUCGAGAAUCACACGGGAGGCUGGGGAUUGCCCAGAUGAGGAGGAGGGUAGCAUACAGCCUGAUGGCUGUAAGGUUUGUGUCUGUAAAUAUAACAGAAGGGAGUGUAUAUACAAAGGUUGUAAAGCCUGUAUGGUGGUCAGUGAAGGAAACACUACGAAGUACAACCACGGAGAGAACUUCGGCUCGGGAUGUCUGCAAUGCACGUGCAAGGACGGCGAACUUGACUGCAAUCAUACGAAGUGUGUGGCCUGUGAUCAUGGGGGGAAUUCCACUAUGUCUGGUCAGAAGAAGGUAUUCGGGUGUGGAACGUGCGAGUGUUUCGACGGACAGUGGACCUGCAAUGAAGCAUGCGGAACAAAUUCCGCUCAGGGCCAACUCAGGUGUGGCCCUGGCUUUUUGCUAUCCCUGGUGUUGCUGAGGCACCUGGCACUUCACAUUUUCUAGGUUUAGGAUUGACAGACAUUUUAACCACAUUUGUAACUAUUUUUAGCUAGCUUUAAAAGUUGAAUAUUUUAUGAUCUCUUGAGUAUACAAUUCCUGAGAAUUUAAAACUGAGAUAGUUUCACCCUGAUAUUUAUCUCUAGUUAUUAUGGUUCCAAGCACCUCUGUUAAGUGACAGCUUUACUUGAUAUUAAAGUUGUUCUCUCCAUGGAACAGCAAAUUAACUGUUAAAGCGUCGUAUUUCUGAAUAGAAGGCCUGAAGUAAUUAAUUAAUUAGUUAAUUACAAACUUUGCAAUAGUCGCACGUGGAUCGUGUUGGCACAGCCCCAAUUUUGUACUGGCCUAUCAUUCAGAUUAUGAUGAGACUUUCAGUUGGUUUCUAUACAUACGAAUUUUGAUUUGAUUUUUCGUUGUUAUACAUACACGAAUUCAUGAUAUAACUAAUUUGCUGCAUUUUGGUAUAACAGUCAACACUGUAAAGAAAAUCUUUUUUGGAAAAUAACUCAGUGGCUUUAACCGCACUGGCUUAUUUGAGAAUUUCAUGAUAACUCUCCGUAUGAUUGGAUAAAAUAAUUGAUUUAAUGAUGAUCUUAUUAGUUCAUUUUUGCUGUAUAUUUGGCGCAGAAGAUUUAUUAGGUAGAAUAAUUUGCACCGGGCCUCUGUCUUAGCGAUCGCACGGAAACACAGGAUUUCCCGACUCGAAUUCCCUCAACAUAUUUUUUAAUUCCUUCCUCCUUAUGAUCGCAUAGCAGAUUAAUUGUCUAUAUAUGAUACAUAGAUUCAAUAAUAAUUGUAAUAUUUAUUUUUCGAACAUUUAGGUAAAUGAAAUUUACAAAAGUGAUUUUUUACGUAAAAUGUAUCCAGCGAUUGGCUGUUAGAACUAUAUUUAGUAUAUCGGUAUAGGGGGGCAACCCCUCUAUAGAUGCUGGCAAGAUGUUAUAUAAAGUACAGUGUACCGCAGAGCUUCCUAACAGUGCAAGAAAAUAUACACAUUUCUUUUUUUCUGAACUCUUGCUUCGAAUUUGCAGCCACGAAUGUUUUACAUUAUUUUAAAGACCGCAAUAGCGCUCAUAAAUCUGCCUGUAAUGAAAUGUUUGGUAUUAUAAGUGCUGUUUGGUAUUUAAAUAAAGAUCUAGGUCCAUGUUGAUCAAUGUUUAAAUACUGGAUCCUCCUACGAUGUGGCCAGACUGGCAGCUAUCUUCUCGUGGCUGCCCAUUCAUUUAUUUGACCGUGUCGUUUUUGGGCCUUGUGUUUGAUGAAUUUUGGAUGAGGGUGUCUAGGAAAAUAUUACGGUACGUAAUCUGCAACCUAAAAGUAUAUAUACGUUUUUACACGCUAGGUUUCGUAUCAAGUUAAGAAAAUGUUAUAUUUCUAAUUGGACAGAGAUUGGAUUGGAAGAACGUUAUUGGUCGUAUAUUUCCUAAAUCAAACCUUCUAGAACGUGUUCCAAAAAUUAUAGGACAACUUGAAACGGUCCAUGCUCCUCACUACAGAUUGUGGAGCUUACAGGUUGAAAUGUAAAAAGUACCUUAACAUCUGCCAAUUCUGCGGCAGUUGCUUUUGUAUUAUGAAAAAAAGCUUUAUUCAACCUCCCAAGUUUCAAGUUUUCCUAAAAUACUGUUUUGACCAAUAGAGAAGGAUGCUUUAAAUAUUGAAAUUAAUAUUAAAGGUUGAUUAUUUUUGGUUUUUGCCAAAUUUCGAUGGUGAUGCAUGUAAAAUGACAAAUGUCAUUGUCUCUUUGAUUUGAGAAAGUUGCGUUUGUAGAAAUUUGGCAAAUGUACCAAGCAUAAUAAGCCUCAGUAGCUUGUUGGAUUUACCGAAUUGUUUAGAAGAUAUAGGAUUUAGAUAGAACCGCAAGCCGUUACACGCUUCAAGCGACAGUAUUUUUGGGUAUUGCAUUAUGUGAAAUACAUGCAAUUUCAUCUUAAGUAAAUGAUUUUUCUCCGACUUAUGCCUUGUGGCUAGUUAAUUAUAUGCUUUGGUCUAUCCGCAGCAGUUUCCGGGCGAACGUCCCUGCUAUUUCAUGACAAAAUAAUUUUACAGAAAAUGUAAAAGGAUAGCGUCAUAAAUGCCUGUUGUCUCAGUAGUGCCCAGCCCGUCUUUCAAAGAGGAGGUUAUCAGGAUUAAACCAUCAAAGGGUAGUGAAAACUCUUAGCUUAAGCCUGGCCGGAUUUAUGCGUCCUCGGAAUUUGAAGAAACCUUUCACAAACUACGUAUUAGCCGCCCAGGGGAGGAAGCGAGAAAUUGCUUAAUAACAAAAAUUACUAUCUUUUGCUAAAUUUUGCAUGAUUCAAAGUUUAGUUAUUAUAUUGAUACUAACAGUUUAACACUGUAUAUGUCAGUACUCUAGUAUUUUAUAGAUAAAAUACAAAAAUUGCUAAUUUUUUAAAUGGGGGAGAGGUGUGACACAUGCUUACCUAUUACAGUAGGGUGGGGGUUCUCUCUGAAAUAUCCAAAAUCCGGCUUACCUAAUAUAUGAACAAUAAUAGGUUGUCAUAUGAUGUUGUACAGCGCAUACCCUAUUGUCAAAUUAUUCAGAAAGUGUCGUUUAACAUCAUGUUCUCUGACACGUGCUGAUUACGAUUGAUAGGAAUGUAAAAUUUUCAAGUAUUUGCCCUAAUUUUCCUAAUUUUGGGGUGAGUGAUUCUCAAUCGACUAUUGUGUGCUGACAGAUCCAUUUUAGGCGCUACUGAGACCGGGCAAUAUUAGGGACUAUAUUUUGAAAGUACAAAAACACCACAUGGUUCCUUCAUAAAGAUAUAUUAGAAAAUCCCUUAAAUUAUUAUCGGUAUUCGAUUUUAAAAUGAAAGCAAUAUUUUAGAAUUGAUCCUACGAAAACGGUUCAGUCUGAUGCUAUGUUCGGCCGAAAUGGGUCCUUUUACAGAGAACAACAUUCCGAUAAAUGAGGAAUUUGAAUUUUGAACCAUUUUCGAUUCACAAAUAUAAUUAAUUUUGAAUUGCUUUAAAGUGCGAUUUUGGCAUUAAGCCGAGGUAUUGUGAGAUCAAACUUUGGCAAUUAUUUUCAACAUUACACAAUGUA